rnacentral:rRNA from 1 species
CACGUGGAUAACCUACCUAUAAGACUGGGAUAACUUCGGGAAACCGGAGCUAAUACCGGAUAACAUGUUGAACCGCAUGGUUCAACAGUGAAAGACGGUCUUGCUGUCACUUAUAGAUGGAUCCGCGCUGCAUUAGCUAGUUGGUAAGGUAACGGCUUACCAAGGCAACGAUGCGUAGCCGACCUGAGAGGGUGAUCGGCCACACUGGAACUGAGACACGGUCCAGACUCCUACGGGAGGCAGCAGUAGGGAAUCUU